rnacentral:rRNA from 1 species
AGUGAAAUAGAACCUGAAACCCUGCACUUACAAGCUGUGGAAGCACAUUUCUUGUGUGACCGCGUACUUUUUGUAGAACGGGCCAACGAGUUACGUUAAGUAGCAAGGUUAAGCACUUAAGGUGUGGAGCCGUAGCGAAAGCGAGUUUUAACUGAGCGUUCAGUUACUUGACGUAGACCCGAAACCGGGCGACCUACCCAUGAGCAGGAUGAAGCGAAAG